rnacentral:rRNA from 1 species
GUAGCCGUCCGCAUAAGUCUCUUGGGAAAUCUGGCAUGUUAACUGUCAGGCUUUCAGGAGAUACUGUCUGGCUCGAGCCGGGAGAGGUGAGAGGUACUUCGAGGGGUAGGGGUGAAAUCUUGUAAUCCUUGAAGGACCACCAGUGGCUAAGGCGUCUCACCAGUACGGACCUGACGGCAAGGGACGAAAGCUAGGGGCACGAACCGGGUUAGAUACCCGGGUAGUCCUAGCCGUAAACGAUACUCGCUAGGUGUCGGCCACGGUGCGACCGUUGUCGGUGCCGUA